GCAUCAGUGGGGUAGUGGUAACCUGGGUCGUUGCCAGAACCGUGUAUCAUCUCUGAUUCGACCCGCCGGGGGUUCGAUUCCCUCCUGAUGCA